UUGAAAUCACAUCCUGGGCUGUCCGCACCAUGGCCUGGGCUCCUCUCCUGCUUACGCUUCUGGCUCACAUCACAGGGGCUGAAUCACAGGCUGUGGUGACGCAGGAACCUUCCCUGUCCACAUCUCCUGGAGAGACGGUCACGCUCACCUGUGGCUCCAGUACUGGAGCCGUCACAACGAGCAACUAUGCUGAUUGGGUCCAACAGAAACCCUACCAAACAACCCGGGGACUAAUAGGUGAUACCAGCAACCGGGCCCCGGGUGUCCCUGCCCGCUUCUCAGGCUCGUUGCUUGGAGACAAGGCUGCCCUCACCAUCACAGGGGCCCAGCCUGAAGACGAGGCCACCUAUUACUGCGCCCUGUG